GGCAGCAUGGUCUAGUGGUUUGAGUGUCGGACUACAACUCUGGAGACCGGAGUUCAUAUCCCCCGCUCAGCCA